rnacentral:rRNA from 1 species
UACGAAGGGGGCUAGCGUUGCUCGGAAUCACUGGGCGUAAAGGGUGCGUAGGCGGGUCUUUUAAGUCAGGGGGUGAAAUCCUGGAGCUCAACUCCAGAACUGCCUUUGAUACUGAAGAUCUUGAGUUCGGGAGAGGUGAGUGGAACUGCGAGUGUAGAGGUGAAAAUUCGUAGAUAUUCGCAAGAACACCAGUGGCGAAGGCGGCUCACUGGCCCGAUACUGACGCUGAGGCACGAAAAGCGUGGGGGAGCAAACAGGG